AGCCAGUCCAAUGGUAGUGGGUUAGCAGAACUUAUUAACAUUAGUGUCACUAAAGUUGUUAUUCAACCCUCCACUGCUAAAUUUGACAGGCUUCAA
rnacentral:Y_RNA from 1 species